rnacentral:rRNA from 1 species
CAGCAGCCGCGGGAAUACGUAGGUGGCAAGCGUUGUCCGGAAUUAUUGGGCGUAAAGGGCUCGCAGGCGGCUUCUUAAGUCUGAUGUGAAAGCCCCCGGCUCAACCGGGGAGGGUCAUUGGAAACUGGGAAACUUGAGUGCAGAAGAGGAGAGUGGAAUUCCACGUGUAGCGGUGAAAUGCGUAGAGAUGUGGAGGAACACCUGUGGCGAAGGCGACUCUCUGGUCUGUAACUGACGCUGAGGAGUGAAAGCGUGGGGAGCGAACAGGAUUAGAUACCCCCGUAGUCCCUGUCUCUUAUAC